rnacentral:lncRNA from 1 species
AAGUAGCAUAUUAAAGAGUCUCUGAACAGGGAUGAGUGAGGAUCGUAUUGCUCAAACACAACCUGCUGGUAAGGCUAGGAACAGAGAGAGAUAUAAGAUCAGAUUCAUACAAACGGGGAAAAAAAGUAGCACACUGGCCCUUCAUUCCUGCUCACUGAGGAGUUUUGGAAGAGUAAUCUCAGCAGGUUCUUGGUUCAUUGUCCUGAACAUGUUCAAUUCAGAAAGGCUACAAAUGAAUUUUGAACUCAUUUCGUUCUCUUUGUACACUCGCACACAAAUGCACCUAUUGCCUAUUGAAACGGAUAGAGCUUAACACGCCAAACUUGUAAGGGGGUGGCCCUAAAGUAUUCACAGGGGGAGGUGGGCAGUUUAGGACAGAAGUUUGUGCCCCCUUAAGAGAGACACACACACACACUCUCUCUCUCUGGGUUUAUUUCUUCUAUUAACACCGUUGUUCAGUAAGGGCCAGAACUUGAUCAAUAUUGAGAGAACUGUAAAUUCUGGUUAUGGUGAUUUUAAUUAUUAAUCGGCUGGGUUUAGAUUUGCUGCACUGGAAUGGGUGAAUUUCUGUUGCCUUUUUAUUUUCUUAUAGAAAUUAAAUGUUUCAUUGUUGUAUUUACCAAUGAUUAUGUUUUAAUAUUAUUCCUAGGAAAAACUUUUUUUUUUUUGUUUGGUUCUCGUGUUAUUGAUCGUGCUAUGCCUUUGUAUAAAGAAUGUCUGAAAAAGCACCACAUGACUCCCACUGAACCAUUCACACUCUUGCCCCACUUUGUCGCAAAGAUUUAUGGGGCAGCAAGUACUCUCCUCACACUUAAAACUAAAAAGUCACUGGAAAAGGACUCAAUCUUUGCAACUAAUCAUUCCCAUGCCAUUUUUGUGACUAAGGAACUGAUCUCGAGCUCUUCUUCUCUGCAUCCAACACCUUUCAUGGUUCAAGCCAAGAACUUUCCACCUCAGUGUCGUCUGCGGGUGGCUUUUUGGCGUUACGCAUUUGGUGGUACACUCUUUAUGAAAACGUGUCGUGAUUGA